rnacentral:lncRNA from 1 species
AUGAAUCAAAUAUUUGGAUGAUUUGUCAUUUUAUUUUUCAUUUCAAUGCAAUCUAAUUUUACUUCUUAUUCUCAUUUCAAUAAGAAUCAAACAUGUUCUCAGAUGUUUCAAAUGGAUGUUCAGUGUCUACCAGUUGUUUCAAUCAAUUUUCAACCAUAUAAUAUAUGAGUUGAGCUUUUGUGCUUUUAAAAACACCGGUGCUCAAUGUGCUUACAAUUUUUUAGCUGUCGAAUAGUCUGAAAAUUCAUACAGUACUAGUAAAAAAAACUUAAUGCGACACAUCGUUAAUAAUGCUAUACGGAUCUUGAGGCGAUCCAACUGCAAAAAACCGCGAGCAUAAAUGCUUCUAUGUUUUU